GUUGUUACAGAUUGACCGUACCGCAAACCGACACAGGUGGGCAGGAUGAAAAUUCUAAGGCGCUUGAGAGAACUCAGGAGAAGGAACUCGGCAAAUUGAUACCGUAACUUCGGGAGAAGGUAUGCCUCGGUAGCGUGAAGCCCCUGCGGGUGGAGCGUGAUGGGGUCGCAGAGAAUCGGUGGCUGCGACUGUUUAAUAAAAACACAGCACUCUGCAAAGGCGAAAGCCGACGUAUAGGGUGUGACGCCUGCCCGGUGCCGGAAGGUUAAGUGAUGGGGUGCAAGCUCUUGAUCGAAGCCCCGGUAAACGGCGGCCGUAACUAUAACGGUCCUAGGUAGCGAAAUUCCUUGUCGGGUAAGUUCCGACCUGCACGAAUGGCGUAAUGAUGGCCACACUGUCUCCUCCUGAGACUCAGCGAAGUUGAAAUGUUUGUGAAGAUGCAAUCUACCCGCGGCUAGACGGAAAGACCCCAUGAACCUUUACUGUAGCUUUGCAUUGGACUUUGACGGGACUUGUGUAGGAUAGGUGGGAGGCUGUGAGGCGUGGUCGCCAGAUCGCGCGGAGCCGACGUUGAAAUACCACCCUGGUGUCGUUGAGGUUCUAACCUUGGUCCGUGAAUCCGGAUCGGGGACCGUGCAUGGCAGGCAGUUUGACUGGGGCGGUCUCCUCCCAAAGUGUAACGGAGGAGUACGAAGGUCUUCUAAGCACGGUCGGACAUCGUGCUCAUAGGGCAAUGGCAAAAGAAGGCUUGACUGCGAGACCCACAAGUCGAGCAGGUGCGAAAGCAGGUCAUAGUGAUCCGGUGGUUCUGUAUGGAAGGGCCAUCGCUCAACGGAUAAAAGGUACUCUGGGGAUAACAGGCUGAUUCCGCCCAAGAGUUCAUAUCGACGGCGGAGUUUGGCACCUCGAUGUCGGCUCAUCACAUCCUGGGGCUGUAGCCGGUCCCAAGGGUAUGGCUGUUCGCCAUUUAAAGUGGUACGUGAGCUGGGUUUAAAACGUCGUGAGACAGUUUGGUCCCUAUCUGCCGUGGGCGCUGGAAAUUUGAGGGGGCCCGCUCCUAGUACGAGAGGACCGGAGUGGACGAACCUCUGGUGUACCGGUUGUCACGCCAGUGGCAUCGCCGGGUAGCUAAGUUCGGAAGAGAUAAACGCUGAAAGCAUCUAAGCGUGAAACUCGCCUCAAGAUGAGAUUUCCCGGGAGUUCAACUCCCCUGA
rnacentral:rRNA from 1 species